CUCCAGGAGACUGGGGGCGGGGCUUUCUCCACAUUAUCGCACUCAGCACCGAAUGGCGACUCUAGAGCAACAUUGGACCACUGACGCUGCUUACCACCCAGAACCUGGGGCUGUGUGAGUAUGAAAGCGCAGUUGUUAAACCCGAUGCAGGCAGCAAGGGCUGAAAGGAAAAGUGUAGAGUUUCUUCAGAUUCGAGGCACACUCGGCUGCUGUGGCACCAGGGAGUGACCUAACGCCAGCAAAACAACAGAGAUGCAAACAAAUCCAGUCAGUGAUGAGAAGACAUGCCCCAAUAUAACCGCAUAGGUUUUCAUCUCACACGUCUAAAGUCUCCAAACAGGACAUCUGAAGAUGCUGGCUAGAAUUAAAACUUUGUCAUUGUUGUUGUUGUGAAA